UUAGUUUGAUUCUAACUAAAAGAUUAGUGAUAUUUUUAAAUCUUAUGCUAAAAAUAUGUAAAACUUAAAUUUAAUGAAGAUAUAGCAUUUAUGUAAUACUCUUCAUAAAGCAGCGAUUAAGACUAUAAUAAUGUGUGAAAGCGCGAAAUGAUUUAAAUUCUAUUAUUGGUCUAAUUCGUGCCAGCAACAGCGGUUAUACGAUAGAUAUCUAACAAAUAAAAUCUGUAUAGAUAUAAUAAACAAUGAGUAAAUAGGUAAAAUUUCUUCACAUAUAGACUCAAAAAUAUCUCUAAUAAACUAUAAACCAAAACAAGGAUUAGAUACCCUUUUAUUAUUAACUUAAAAUAAGAUUGGAGACUACGAGCAAUAGCUUAAAAACCCAAGGAUUUGGCGGUGUCUUAUUCAAUCAGGGGGACCUGUACCUUAAAUCGAUAGUCCACGCUAAACUUUACCUAACUUUAACUCUAUUAGCUUGUGUACUGCCGUUUAAUAGGCCCUUAAGGUUACCUAUAAAAAAUAUAUAAAAUUUUACGUCAGGUCAAAGUGCAGCUUAUAGUUAGGAGGAUGUGGGUCACAUUAUAAAAAAGGAAAUAUACAUAUAAAUUAAUAGUUAUAUUAACUAGGACUUGAUAGUAAUUAUAUUAAUAAUUAUAUUAUAAUGAAUAUGAACUUAAGACAAGCACACAUCGCCCGUCACUCCUUUAUAUAGGAUAAGUCGUAACAUAGUAGACGUAAUGGAAAUUGCAUCU
rnacentral:ncRNA from 1 species